rnacentral:rRNA from 2 species
GAGCUUCCGUUGAUGACGUGCUUGCACUGAUUUCAACAAUGAAGCGAGUGGCGAACUGGUGAGUAACACGUGGGAAAUCUGCCCAGAAGCAGGGGAUAACACUUGGAAACAGGUGCUAAUACCGUAUAACAACAAAAUCCGCAUGGAUUUUGUUUGAAAGGUGGCUUCGGCUAUCACUUCUGGAUGAUCCCGCGGCGUAUUAGUUAGUUGGUGAGGUAAAGGCCCACCAAGACGAUGAUACGUAGCCGACCUGAGAGGGUAAUCGGCCACAUUGGGACUGAGACACGGCCCAAACUCCUACGGGAGGCAGCAGUAGGGAAUCUUCCACAAUGGACGAAAGUCUGAUGGAGCAAUGCCGCGUGAGUGAAGAAGGGUUUCGGCUCGUAAAACUCUGUUGUUAAAGAAGAACACCUUUGAGAGUAACUGUUCAAGGGUUGACGGUAUUUAACCAGAAAGCCACGGCUAACUACGUGCCAGCAGCCGCGGUAAUACGUAGGUGGCAAGCGUUGUCCGGAUUUAUUGGGCGUAAAGCGAGCGCAGGCGGUUUUUUAAGUCUGAUGUGAAAGCCUUCGGCUUAACCGGAGAAGUGCAUCGGAAACUGGGAGACUUGAGUGCAGAAGAGGACAGUGGAACUCCAUGUGUAGCGGUGGAAUGCGUAGAUAUAUGGAAGAACACCAGUGGCGAAGGCGGCUGUCUAGUCUGUAACUGACGCUGAGGCUCGAAAGCAUGGGUAGCGAACAGGAUUAGAUACCCUGGUAGUCCCAUGCCGUAAACGAUGAGUGCUAAGUGUUUGGAGGGUUUCCGCCCUUCAGUGCUGCAGCUAACGCAUUAAGCACUCCG